CAGGCCUAACACAUGCAAGUCGAACGAGAUCUUUCGGGGUCUAGUGGCGCACGGGUGCGUAACGCGUGGGAAUCUGCCCUUGGGUUCGGAAUAACAGCGAGAAAUUGCUGCUAAUACCGGAUAAUGACGUAAGUCCAAAGAUUUAUCGCCCAGGGAUGAGCCCGCGUAGGAUUAGCUAGUUGGUGGGGUAAAGGCCUACCAAGGCGACGAUCCUUAGCUGGUCUGAGAGGAUGAUCAGCCACACUGGGACUGAGACACGGCCCAGACUCCUACGGGAGGCAGCAGUGGGGAAUAUUGGACAAUGGGCGAAAGCCUGAUCCAGCAAUGCCGCGUGAGUGAUGAAGGCCCUAGGGUUGUAAAGCUCUUUUACCCGGGAUGAUAAUGAC
rnacentral:rRNA from 1 species